CACCGGUCUAAAAAAUGCAGUGCGAUGAUGGGGGUGGUGUCUCUAAUGUACGUGUUGAUCCCCCACCGCAACCACCGCUUCUGGGCGAGUCGUGCGUGCGUGCAGAUAUACAGCGAUAUCAUUGCUGCUGCCGACGUACACACCCAUCUUUUCUUUUACCAUCAGCACAGAUACAAGCGCUUAUAUACAAACGCAUACACUCACCUCUAUAAACGCAUACACGCACACCCUACCCCUUAGGAGCACCUUUAAGAGACUGAGCCGGCAUAUCAUCUUAAGAUUUACGAAGCUAUCAUAGACGCCUCGUCGUCGACAGGAACGUCUCCUCCCACUGAAAGCGCAUCGCCGGAAAUUCUGAACGUCUCGAGCACCAAUUCGAGCAUGCUGCAAGCCUGCAACACAUCUCGACGCCUCAUCCAGCCCCAGCUCUGCCGCACCGCACCGCAACCCUAGCCGCCGCCGGAGCACGCCGCGACGCCGUCGACGGAGAGCACGCCGUGACGCCGUCCACGGAGAGCGCGCCGCGAGGACGCCCACGAAGAGCAGGACGGUACGCCGCGACGCCGUCGACGGAGCACACAGCCAGGGCGCCACCGACGCUGCCGGAGCCAGCCGUUGGGACCUCACCAGCGUUCGUGGAGCCUACCGGCCGUCCGCAGAGCCCUGCGUCAAGGGAUCGACUGCUCGGGGAACUGGCUCAUCAGGUCCAGUUCAGAGAAAUGGAAAGAAAGACUUUGCACAAUUGGUUUGCAAGCACUUCGAACACCCCCCCAUGUUGUUGUUUCUGAACCAGCAGCAACACAAAUUCUGAACUUGAACCCUCUUACUCCAACAAUUGAGAGCAGCAAUCCCCCAACAGAUGAGAGCACUAUCCCUCCUUCAAACGAGAGCACUACCCCCCCUUCAAUCGAGAGCACCAACCCCCCAAUUGAUGAGAGCACAAACCAACCACCAACACCUAGGCUUCUUAUCCAAGAGUUUCACCCAAGUCAAAUUUUUGGUGAUCCGGCAGAUCGAAUACCAAUAGAAGAUUAUGCCCCUGAAAUUCCAAGUGAAGUUAGAAGAGCUGAUUUGUUGAAAGGAAGAAACAAAACUGAAGGGCAUAAUUUUGAAAUCACAUUGGAUGGUACAAUCCGGAGAUUAUCUCCCCUUGAUAGAAGAGCUUACUGCUGAUUUCUUCAAUUAUCUCCCUUUGAUAGUGACUCAGGUGGGUUCAUCUUCCAAGAGAAAAGAUGCAUUACUUGCAAAGCAUCACGAUGAUUUGAUGAAAUUGAUGGAGCAUGGUAAGAUUAUAGCUGGAACUGGGUUACAUCAAGAAACUAACCUUUCUAGACCAGGAGCUACUCGUUGGGGCUCACAUCUUAAAACCUUGCUUUGUAUUUACACAAUGUGGAAUGCAGUGGUCGAUGUGCUAGCAAUCGUGGUUGACGAUGCACGAGAACACACUUGUCAAGGUGGAGCUCCAGGUUUGAUCAUAAAGAUGGAAUGUUUCCAAUUUGUGUUUAUCAUGUUAUUCUUAAUAAACUUGUUGCAAACCACAAAUAUGCUAUCACAAGCUUUGCAAAGGAAGAAACAUGAUGUUGUUGAAGCCAUGCAUUUGAUCUCGGAUGUGAAAGAAACUUUGCAAGAUAUGAGGGACAAUGGAUAUGAGUCAUUAUGCAGCCAAGCCAAGAUCUUUUGUGAGGAACAUGGCAUUGUUCGCACUAAAAAUAAGGUGACUCGACAUCACUAUUUCAUAGCAUAUUCUAUGUUGUUAUUGAUGCAACUAUGACCGAGAUGAACCAUCGGUUCAAUGAAAUUAACACUGAGCUAGUGGAUUGCAUGUCCUGUUUUAAUCCAGCCAACAACUUUGCAAAGUUUAAUGUUGACAAACUUAUCCGGCUUGCUGAAAUUUAUGCGGAUGAUUUUACAGAAACUGACCGGUUGUUGCUUAGAAUUGACCUUCCAAGAUUCCUUAGAAAUAUCAGGAGAAGUGAGGAAUUUAAUGGAUGUUCGGAUGUUUCCACCCUUGCUCAGUUGAUGGUUCAAUCAACAAAACAUGCAACUUUCCCAACAGUAUAUCGCCUCAUCGAGUUGACAUUGAUCCACCCCGUGGCAACUUCAUCUGUUGAGCGAAUAUUUUCAGCAAUGAAGAUCAUCAAAAUAGAUUUGCGCAAUAAGAUCUCGGAUGAUUGGCUCAAUGACUUAAUGGUGUGCUAUUGUGAGAAAAGGAUAUUCAAAAGUAUUCAUGAUGAUCAGAUCAUGAUACAAUUCCAGAGAAAGAGUGAUCGGAAAGCUCACUUGCCUCGUGAGUAUAAUGUGAUUGCUUAAGAGAUGGCAUGGCGUUUGGGAUCUGAAGCAUAUAAUCUAUAUAGUUCUACAGUAGCAUUGGUUAGAAGCAAAACCGGCAUCAUUGGUUUCGUCUUUCUUUUUGUUGCUUCUGUAGUACUUUAUCUAUUGCUGUGUGAAUUGUAUGCUUUUGAAUCGAAAGUUUGUGGUAUGACCAAAUGUGUUACUACUUACUAGUAUUGGUGUUGUAAAAUAUCAUGUCGUUUUGAGCUCAUAUUUGGCACCUUUUGGCUGUUUAAAUUGACCAUACCAAUUUUUACC